GAGAGGUGGCUGAGUGGUCGAAAGCGGCGGUCUUGAAAACCGUUGAGGGUACCCCCCUCCCAGGGUUCGAAUCCCUGUCUCUCC
rnacentral:tRNA from 1 species